AAGGCUUCAAUAAAUGAAAUGAAAUGAAAGUGUUCUUAUCUGUUCUUAUCAGCUUAAUAUCUUGAUAUGGGUUGUAUUUGGCCCCAAGAUAUUAAGUUUAUUUUUGCAAGUUGGAGGAGUGCUUGAAGCCUGCUUCACCGCCAACACGGGUCGGCCCGGUAUUUCACUAUAUUCGAAAUUGGACCACGUUUU